AGUAUUUUAGUUUAAGGGGGUGAAAUCAUAUUGGAUUCCCAGAAGUAACUGCUAUAAUACAGACAUUAAUGGGUAGGGUGUGUAUUAUAAUAACAUCCUCUGGACCGACGACGGGAGUUAUAGUUUCCCAGUGCCAGUACUUAUUAUCUUAACACUUUCAUAUCAUAUCGAAACAGACAGGACAGGCUGUACAACCAGAACAGUCACUAAGAAAGAAGAUUGGAAGUGGAGGAAAUAUACCGCAUGUGUACACUGCAUCAGCAAGUGGACUGGCCGAGUAUGCAGUUGUAGACACAACUAGGGUAGAGAGAAAGAAAGGUCAACCAAGAGCUCACCAAAGGAAUAUGGCUUACCAUAACCCGCAAGUAGAGUAUGCUGUAGUUGACAAGACGAAAAAGAGCCGACGAGAGAAAUAAUAUGAAGAACAG